rnacentral:rRNA from 1 species
GAUGAACGCUGGCGGCGUGCUUAACACAUGCAAGUCGAACGGGAAACUUUUCAUUGAAGCUUCGGCAGAUUUGGUCUGUUUCUAGUGGCGGACGGGUGAGUAACGCGUGGGUAACCUGCCUUAUACAGGGGGAUAACAACCAGAAAUGGUUGCUAAUACCGCAUAAGCGCACAGGACCGCAUGGUCCGGUGUGAAAAACUCCGGUGGUAUAAGAUGGACCCGCGUUGGAUUAGCUAGUUGGCAGGGUAACGGCCUACCAAGGCGACGAUCCAUAGCCGGCCUGAGAGGGUGAACGGCCACAUUGAGACUGAGACACGGGCCCAGGACUCCUACGGGAGGCAGCAGUGGGGAAUAUUGCACAAUGGGGAAACCUGAUGCAGCGACGCCGCGUGAAGGAAGAAGUAUC